rnacentral:lncRNA from 1 species
GAAUCAGAUCCCCUGAAUACAAAGAGCUUUGCAGCCACAGAGCAGCGUCCACGGGAAGUCAGAGGAGGGGGCCUCUUGCAGAAAUCCCCAGAGAGGGGGAAUACUGAUGUUGGUCCCGGAAGGAUGAGGAAGACCUUGGCAGGGAAGGUGUUCAGGGCAGGAAAGCUCUCGGUAGAUGAUUUUCCAAGGAUGAGCAAGUCAGGAAAACGGAGCGGCUGAAAGCAGACUUGCCUGGAAGGGGCAGAAUGGAGUGGCAGCAUCACACGGCAGCAGCAUCUGGAAGCUUGCCGGAAAUGCAGAAUCGCGGGCUCACCCCAGACGCUAGUGAGGACCGGAAGUGAUUUACCUGUGAGCCCAUUAACAUUGGAGAAGCUGUGGGGGGGGGGGGGGCGGGGGGGCACUUGGGGGGCUCAGUCGGUUAGGCGUCAGACUCGUGAUCUUGGCUCAGGUCACGAUCUCACGGGGCCUGAGAUCGAGCCCCGGGUCUGCCUCUGUGCUGACAGCAUGGAGCCCGCUUGGGAUUCUCUGUCUCCCCCUCUCUCUGCCCCCCUGCCCACCACCAAAAUAAAGAAAUAUUUAAAAAAAUUUCUUUUUUGAGAAGCUCUGGUCUCUGCCUCCUGGGCUGGCUCUGAGUGGUCCUCUCCCACCCCACGUGCAGAGUGAAGUA